GAUUUUUAGGGUUUUAGAUCGAUUAGAAACGGUUGUCGUCGUGAAAUUUGUCGGUAAAAUCAGCGCAUAUUUUCCCAGACAAAAUGGCGAUUUAGGGUGGUCGUGUUAAAACGGCAUUUUCUCAAAGUUAAAAAAGCAUUUGGCCAAAAAAAAUAUAUGGUGCAUUUUCCGAUAUAAUAAGGUAUAUCUGGGCAAAAUUUGAGCAAAAUCGAUUUUUCAGUCGUGGCCGCGAAAUAUCUCAUAUGUUCGAUUUUUACUGACAUUCACUCUUAAGCCCUUGGGAUUCACAAGACCAGCUGCUUUAGAAGUAACAAAGGAACGAUGACUUCCCGCAUCAAAGAGAACCCGCACCUUAGCCACCCUUUCACCCCUUAAAACCCCGCGUGCAGUUUGCAAGGCAACCAGGCUACCAGUUCCCACAUGCAAGUUACUACUGGAACUAGUCACAUGCACAUUAUUAUUAACAGGGACCUGUUUAGAUUCUUCGUCAGGUUCGACUGUUUUGUCAUGUUUAUCGUCUUUUUUAGGGCUUGCAUCACAUAAUGCAACAUGAUGUGCCCCAUAGACCAAUUGCGAAACUUAGUGACCGCGCCUUCAACUGCACGAAAACGAGGCUUAUUAUGCAAAAACAAAUCAUUCUGCUAUAUUUUUGUAUGGCGAAAAACGAAUUUCAGUGUUUGAGACGCGUUUUUAUGGUAAUCUCUUCAUUUUUUUCAAUAUUUUUGUUUUGACUAUUAGGCCAUGGGCCAAGUGCCGAAAAUGUGACUUUUGAAUACGCACCUUGGGGAACCAAAAAAUUUUUUCAAUAACUAUUAGCACAUGUAUUUUAGAACAAAAUUAUGUGGUAUGCCAAUCGUGAGUCUUGCACAUUAAUGAGAAAAAUCAACUGCUUUCUUGACUAAUUUUAGACUAAUUUGUAUGAAUCCACUGAAUACUUUGUUUCAAAUACACAGCAUGUUUAUAUCUCUUAACCAAUCAACAUGGGUUUUGCCCAGCGAUAAACCAAUCAGAUAAGUGUAUCAUGUUUCAGUCGCAACAAAGACUAGUUGUAAACAAAUAUGGCGUCCGUCGGCGAAGGCAGACCGCCAGGGAAAGAUUUUUGCAUUAUAUGCAUAUAAUAAAUAAUGCAAGAGGAAAAUUAACGUAUUUUACAUAUACAUCAUGGUGCAAUUUUGUGAUAUUCGCAGCAAAGUGGAAGAAAUUUAUUUGUAAAGAGGGCGCAAUCGCACAUGAUUCGGAGGCGAAACUUGACUUGCGUCUCGAUUCACAGUGUGAGACAACGCACACAGAUAAUGCUAAGAGUUUUCUGCCAACACCAGCCUACUGCAAAUUUCGUCGGGAGUGCUGCAACAGGUUUUGUAACAAACAGAAGGUCGAAAGGGAAGAAAGAAUACACGCUAUAAGGGACGAGAAUGCCAAAAAAUGUAAGAGAGGAUUGUUGAGAAUUGUGCAAAAUAUUGUGGUGUUUUAUUACAAAGAACCGAAAUAUAAUCAAGUUAGGUAUUCAAUCAGCUCAGAUACGUCCUAAAUUCUUAAAGAAUGUCAUGGAAGUCUGUUUAGUAUUAUUGAGUUAAAGUUUCACUAUAUUUUAGUGAUACUAAUGUUAACAUGGUUAUUUUUUAUUAUUACAAAUGUAUUAAAACAAAUUCAAAAGUAUGCAUUUCGGCACUUUGUCUUUAAAUACAUACUUUCAGCUGAGUUUUAUUACCAGAACAUAUGUAUGACUACAAUGUGUUUCAAAAAUUAUAUUUUCAGUGUUUAAUAAUCCAUACAAACAACAAACUUAUGCCUAUGUAGGUUUUGUCUAAAUGUUGUUUUCCACCACUGUUAUAGUUAGUUUAAUGACCCAAUGUAUAAGGGUUGCAGCAUUCAAUACAUUAUAUGUCAUAUGUAUAUCUUUGUAAUAAAUUAUAAUUGAGUAAUACUGUACACCCUCCAGUAAGAUAGAUACUGUUGAAAGGGGGAGGGGGGCUUUUAGACUAAAUAGGAAUGCACAUUGAUUGACGGAUGGAACCCAAUAGCAAAUGCAGGGGGUGGUUACUGAAGGGUUUCUGGUAAACAGUAUUUAAAUCAAAUUGAACAGUAUUUGAUGGUUCUUGUAUUCAAUACCUAAAUACAGGCACCCCCAUCACAUCCUAUAAAGAAAACAUGGUGAUUAACCAACUUGUAAUAAAUAAAAAUUGUUAUGCAUAUUUGAAAAAUAAUACUGAUUAAAUAGAGAAUAAAGAUUCAUUUCAGCACCAUCUUACAAACUGUUACAGUUGAAAUUGUUGUUUGUUUUGUUAAAAAAAACUUGUGCGCUUAAUUUAUAUUACAGGUGUAUGUACCACAGAAUACCACACAAAUUUACAUGUUCUAUAUCCUUUGUCAAAUGCAUAUAACAUAGCCUGUUAAAUAUUUUUUAGUAUAGUUUUUAAUUAUUUCUUCUUCCUGUUGGGUUUUGGUUAGAUUUGGCAUAUUCUAUUAUUUUUUAAAUUGGACAUUCUGUGGAUAAAAUCCUAAUGUACCACAGAAUACCAGUGCGGAAAUAAGUAAGGAACGGUUUAUCAAAUUGUACGAGGAUUUGGUGUGUCAUGUGUGAUAACACUGCACAGAUAUUGCUAACUUAAUUUAGUGGAAGGUUAAUACUAAAAUCACUACAGAAUACCAGUGGUAUGUACCACAGUAUAUUAGGUUUACCAAUAAUUUUGAAAAAUUGAGGGUUUUUUUGUAAAUU